rnacentral:rRNA from 1 species
UACGGGGGGGCAAGCGUUGUUCGGAAUUACUGGGCGUAAAGGGCGCGUAGGCGGCCUUCUAAGUCGGACGUGAAAUCCCUCGGCUUAACCGACGGAACUGCGUCCGAUACUGAAAGGCUUGAAUCCGGGAGAGGGAUGUGGAAUUCCAGGUGUAGCGGUGAAAUGCGUAGAUAUCUGGAGGAACACCGGUGGCGAAGGCGGCAUCCUGGACCGGCAUUGACGCUGAGGCGCGAAAGCUAGGGAGCAACAGG